GUAGAGUAAAUAUUGCGCGUAAAGUGUCUCAAGGAUGGGAAGUUGCCUGAGAACGAAGGAAAUCCAUGUUUCAGGGAUAAUACCUGGUUAGUUUCCACGAUGUAAUGUUGCGUCCGCUA
rnacentral:ncRNA from 1 species